rnacentral:rRNA from 1 species
UUCGGAUUUAUUGGGCGUAAAGAGCUCGUAGGCGGUUCAACAAGUCGGGUGUUAAACCCCCAGGCUCAACCUGGGGCCGCCACCCGAAACUGUUGUAACUAGAGUUUGGUAGGGGAUCACGGAAUUCCUGGUGUAGCGGUGGAAUGCGCAGAUAUCAGGAGGAACACCAGCAGCGAAGGCGGUGAUCUGGGCCAAUACUGACGCUGAGGAGCGAAAGCGUGGGGAGCGAACAGGAUUAGAUACCCUGGUAGUCCACGCCGUAAACGGUGGGCACUAGGUGUGGGGACUUUUCAACGGUUUCCGCGCCGCAGCUAACGCAUUAAGUGCCCCGCCUGGGGAGUACGGUCGCAAGACUAAAACUCAAAGAAAUUGACGGGGGCCCGCACAAGCAGCGGAGCAUGUGGCUUAAUUCGAUGCAACGCGAAAAACCUUACCUAGAUUUGACAUGCUGGGAAAAGCCACAGAGAUGUGGUGUCCUUCGGGGCUCAGCACAGGUGGUGCAUGGCUGUCGUCAGCUCGUGUCGUGAGAUGUUGGGUUAAGUCCCGCAACGAGCGCAACCCUUGUUCUAUGUUGCCAGCACGUAAUGGUGGGGACUCGUAGAAGACUGCCGGGGUCAACUCGGAGGAAGGUGGGGACGACGUCAAGUCAUCAUGCCCCUUACGUCUAGGGCUGCACACAUGCUACAAUGGGCGGUACAGAGGGCUGCUAAACCGCGAGGUGGAGCCAAUCCCUAAAACCGCUCUCAGUUCAGAUUGCAGGCUGCAACUCGCCUGCAUGAAGUUGGAGUUGCUAGUAAUCCCGGAUCAGCAUUGCCGGGGUGAAUACGUUCCCGGGCCUUGUACACACCGCCCGUCAAACCACGAAAGUUGGUAACACCCGAAGCCGGUGGCCUAACCGCAAGGAAGGAGCCGUCGAAGGUGGGAUCAGUGAUUGGGGUU